rnacentral:rRNA from 1 species
UGUGUAUCAGUACAUGGCAUAUCAAUAAGCGGAGGAAAAGAAACUAACUAAGGAUUCCCUUAGUAACGGACGAGUGAAGCGGGAAGAGCUCAAAUUUGAAAUCUUCAAGGUUCUACCUUGACGAAUUGUAGUUUAUAGAAGUGUUUUCUGUUAGUGGAGUGGCAAAAGUUCUUUGGAAUAGGACAUCAUAGAGGGUGAGAAUCCCGUAUUUGGUCAUUCCUCCUAGCGUUGUGAUACACUUUCAAAGAGUCGGAUUGUUUGGGAAUGCAGUCCAAAAUGGGUGGUAAAUUUCAUCUAAAGCUAAAUAUUGGCGAGAGACCGAUAGCGAACAAGUACCGUGAGGGAAAGAUGAAAAGAACUUUGAAAAGAGAGUUAAACAGUACGUGAAAUUGUCAAAAGGGAAGCGUUUGACACCAGUGUUGUUUUUCCGAAAAUCAAUUAAAAAUGGUGGGAUGUUGUGUCGUAUUGACUUUAUCAGCUUUCUGCACUUUUUUUCCUAUCUUUUUUAAUGCACUUUUCGUUUAACAAGUCAACAUCAAUUUCUUUUGUUGUAAAAGAGUCAUUGGAAGGUGGCUUUCUUUUCGGAGAAAGUGUUUAUAGCCUUUGGCUUCUGCAAUCGGAGAGAUUGAGGUCUGCAGCGUAGAUCCUUCGGGGUUAGAUGCAUUUGUGCUAAGUUAUAGCCUUUCAUAGACAACUUGUUGACUAUGAUCAGUCAUGUAGCUUACUCGCUUAUGUCAUUUUACCUACGCUUAGGAUGUUGACAGCAGUAUAGACUGU